rnacentral:lncRNA from 1 species
GGGGCUUCAAGUACUUCAGGCUCCGCCUCCGCGGCCCGCCCGCCUCAGCCCAUUGGCUGGGCGUAACAGCUUUGGCAGCAGCGAGGGCUGCGUGACGUCGUGAGGUCCUGCCAUUCCGUCCUCUCACUUCGGGUUGUAGGCCCUAGAAGUGAUUAGGACCCAAAUUUGGGACCAACUGAAGGCAGCCUAUACCCCAGGGACCACCGCAGUACCCCACGGGUUCCGAGUUGGAGACAAAGUCUUGGUCAGACGGCAUCGAACCGGCAGCCUCGAGCCACGGUGGAAGGGACCCUAUUUGGUGUUACUGACAACCCCUACUGCGGUAAAAGUUGACGGGAUUGCCUCCUGGAUCCACGCCUCCCACGUCAAGAGGGCCGCCAGUCAAGAUGAAGAAAACCACGAAGACAAUUGGACAGUGGCAGCCACUGACAAUCCUCUUAAGCUUCGUUUGCACCGCAGGCGCCACCCUGAGCCUAGGGAACCACAACCCUCAUGCUCCAAUUCAACAGUCUUGGGAAGUGCUUAAUGAGGAGGGAAACAUUGUAUGGGCAACCACUGCAGUCCAUCCCCUCUGGACUUGGUGGCCUGAUCUCACACCUGACAUCUGUAAGUUAGCAGCAGGAUCCCCCAAUUGGGACCUCCCCGAUCAUACUGAUCUUAGCAACCCACCCUCUGAACAGCGGUAUGUCCCGGGCGGGAUAGGGAACUCGUAUGGAUGUUCGGGGCAAUUCUACCGAGCUAAUCUUAGAGC